GGGGGUGAUCGGUUUCGACUUGAGCUGUUCACGUAUAAGCGGCAUGCCGAGGACGCCUGGUGGGCCUCGUAAAUCAUCCGGGCAAAAACCAAACGCAAACAACAGUUACGAUGUUGUCGCCGAAGCCGAGGCUAUCUUAGCCGGAGCCGAAGCCCCAGCCUUAGUUUAAAUUAAACUAAGCCCUCUUGCGGGUAGCGUCCGCGGGUCCGUGAGAGGUCUCUAGCGGGCUGGUCCCGUCAAUCGUUUCCGUUGACGGGAUGAGAUCUAAGGAAACUGGCCUUGCGGCAUCCUGGGCGUUGGAGUCCGUAAGGCAAGAUUAAUAAACGUCCUAAGCAUGUAGAAGCUUAUACAGGGUCACUCAAGGACCGGGGUUCGAUUCCCCGCACCUCCACCA
rnacentral:tmRNA from 3 species